rnacentral:misc_RNA from 1 species
GAAAUGCGAUAAGUAAUGUGAAUUUCAGAAUUCAGUGAAUCAUCGAAUCUUUGAACGCACAUUGCGCCCGCCAGUAUUCUGGCGGGCAUGCCUGUUCGAGCGUCAUUUCAACCAUCAAGCCCCGGGCUUGUGUUGGGGACCUGCGGCUGCCGCAGGCCCUGAAAACCAGUGGCGGGCUCGCUGUCACACCGAGCGUAGUAGAUUCUCAUCUCGCUCAGGGCGUGCUGCGGGUUCCGGCCGUAAAACAGCCUUAUUUUACCCAAGGUUGACCUCGGAUCAGGUAGGAAGACCCGCUGAACUUAAGC